AUUGAACGCUGGCGGCAUGCUUUACACAUGCAAGUCGAGCGGCAGCGCGGGGGCAACCCUGGCGGCGAGCGGCGAACGGGUGAGGAAUACAUCGGAACGUACCCCGGAGUGGGGGAUAACGCCGCGAAAGCGGCGCUAAUACCGCAUAUGCUCUGAGGAGGAAAGUGGGGGGACCUGCAAGGGCCUCACGCUCUGGGAGCGGCCGAUGUCCGAUUAGCUAGUUGGUGGGGUAAAGGCCCACCAAGGCGACGAUCGGUAGCUGGUCUGAGAGGAUGAUCAGCCACACUGGGACUGAGACACGGCCCAGACUCCUACGGGAGGCAGCAGUGGGGAAUUUUGGACAAUGGGCGCAAGCCUGAUCCAGCCAUGCCGCGUGCGGGAAGAAGGCCUGGUGUAACGCUUGUCAGGGAAGAAACGACUCCGAGCCAACUAACCUCGGAGGUAAAUGACGGUACCUGAAGAAUAAGACACCGGCUAACUACGUAGCCAGCAGCCGCGGUAAU
rnacentral:rRNA from 1 species